AAAGGAAUAGACGGGGGCCCGCACAAGCAGUGGAGUAUGUGGUUUAAUUCGACGCAACGCGAAGAACCUUACCAGGGCUUGACAUAUACAGGAAUAUAUGAGAGAUCAUAUAGCUCUUCGGAGCCUGUAUACAGGUGGUGCAUGGUUGUCGUCAGCUCGUGUCGUGAGAUGUUGGGUUAAGUCCCGCAACGAGCGCAACCCCUGUUCUUAGUUGCCAGCACGUAAUGGUGGGAACUCUAAGAAGACUGCCGGUGAUAAAUCGGAGGAAGGUGGGGACGACGUCAAAUCAUCAUGCCCUUUAUGUCCUGGGCUACACACGUACUACAAUGGCUGUAACAAAGGGAAGCGAAACCGCAAGGUGAAGCAAAACUCAAAAAAACAGUCUCAGUUCGGAUUGAAGGCUGAAAUUCGCCUUCAUGAAGCUGGAAUUGCUAGUAAUGGCAGGUCAGAAUACUGCCGUGAAUACGUUCCCGGGCCUUGUACACACCGCCCGU
rnacentral:rRNA from 1 species